AGCUGUUGUGUCACUUCCUCAUGCUGACAUAUUUACUAGAGGGUAAAAUUAAUAACCUUCUAGUAAGAGUGGCAGUCGAAGGGAAGGGCUCAUCUGACUUCUGGAAACCU
ensembl:miRNA microRNA 628